rnacentral:rRNA from 1 species
UACGUAGGGGCCGAGCGUUGUCCGGAGUUAUUGGGCGUAAAGCGCGCGCAGGCGGCCUCGCGCGCCCGACGUGAAAGCCCCCGGCUUAACCGGGGAGGGUCGUUGGGGACGGCGGGGCUUGAGGGCGGGAGAGGUCGGUGGAAUUCCCGGUGUAGUGGUGAAAUGCGUAGAGAUCGGGAGGAACACCUGUGGCGAAGGCGGCCGACUGGGCCGACACUGACGCUGAGGCGCGAAGGCGUGGGGAGCGAACGGG